rnacentral:rRNA from 1 species
GAUGAACGCUGGCGGCGUGCCUAAUACAUGCAAGUCGAGCGAAGCGGGGACGGGUGAGUAACACGUGGAUAACCUCCUAUAAGACUGGGAUAACUUCGGGAAACCGGAGCUAAAACGGAGACUUAUAGAUGGAUCUGCGCUGCAUUAGCUAGUUGGUAAGGUAACGGCUGACAAAGGCAACGAUGCAUAGCCGACCUGGGAGGGUGAUCGGCCACACUGGAACUGAGACACGGUCCAGACUCCUACGGGAGGCAGCAGUAGGGAAUCUUCCGCAAUGGGCGAAAGCCUGACUGAGCAACGCCGCGGUAAUAC